AUGAAGGAUUAUUCUGUGUUUUCUGUUAUUCACUUCAGUGAUGUUGAGUUUGAGGAGGUGAAUUGGAGCCUAAGUACAUCUGGAACAUUUCCUUUUGCAUUUGGCAUUUGCAGACUGGAAGGUGGUGUUGCAGCAGUAUUUUUCUCAGUCCACUUAGAAGAUAAAGACCAAGCCUUACAUUGCUCGCCUCAAGGAUGUGAUGCAGAACUGAUUUUCCAACACCAAAGAAAAACAGGCUGCUGUCCUAGACUAGGCGCUCCACAGCAUUCCACUCUGACCUUCAUCUUUUGAUUAUUAUUUGAGAAAAACCACCACCACCAUCAGACAGCAGCAACAACCUUUAUAUGCAGGGUCCCUGGAGAUCAGGUAUGGUAUAGGCUGGGUAUUCUCAGAUGAGACACUCUCUGUUCAACUGAGAUUACUCUUACAGAAAAAGAACUUCCUGUAGAGAGAAGACCACACAUCCUAUGUAUAAGAUAGUUCUCAGGGAGGUGAAGGGACAAUCUUUUGUGAACUUCAAGGUUCAUUUAAAAGUAAACAAUCUAACAGAACUUCCUUUCACUGGAUUAAAGGAAGCUAGGGACUCUAGACAAAAGAUAAGGGACAAAAGAAUUUUGGGGGCUUUCUUACAUUUAUAGUUUUACCAUUUAAAAAAAAAAUGUCCAAGGCCAGGCACGGUGGCUCAAGCCUGAAAUCCCAGCACUUUGGGAGGCCGAGGUGGAUGGAUCACAAGGUCAAGAGAUCGAGACCAUCCUGGUCAACAUGGUGAAACCCCGUCUCUACUAAAAAUACAAAAAAUUAGCUGGGCAUGGUGGUGCGUGCCUGUAAUCCCAGCUACUUGGGAGGCUGAGGCAGGAGAAUUGCCUGAACCCAGGAGGCAGAGGUUGCGGUGAGCCGAGAUCAUGCCAUUGCACUCCAGCCUGGGUAACAAGAGCGAAACUCCAUCUCAAAAAAAAAAAAGUCCAUCUGCUUUCCUAAAAUGAUCAUCAGUGAUCAGCAUACAUUGAAAAAGAUCUGUGCACAGCAUUGUCCCCCCUAUUCAUGAGGGAUAUUAUAUAAGAGGUCUUGAGGAUGCCUGAAAUCCCAGAUAGUAUUGACCCCCAUAUAUGCUAUGAUUUUUCCUGUACUUAGACACCUAUGUUAAAGUUUAAUUUACAAAUUAGGCAACUAAGAGGUUCACAACAAUAACUAAUAAUAAAAUAGAACAAUUGUGCCAAUAUACUGCAAUAAAAUUUAUGUGAAUGAGAUCUCUCUCACAAAUAUCUUACUGUUCUCAACUUUCUUGUAAUGAUGUGAGAUGAUAAAUGCCUAAGUGAUCAGAUGAAAUGAGAUAAAUGAUGUAGGAACUCUGAUGUAGAGUUAGGCUACAAUUGGAUCAUCUGCUUUUGGGUGAUCUUGCAUCAAGGAGCCAUGACAAUGUUGAUGGUUGGAUGUCUGGAGUAGACAACAUCAGUGACUAGUGGGCAGGCAGCAUGUACAGCAUGGAUACUGUGUACAAAGGAAAGGUGCACAUGGUGGGCAGGACAGAGAGAGAUAUCUUGAGAGUUCCUCAUGCUCCUCAGAAUGGCACACAAUUUAAAACUUGUUAAUUAUUUCUGGAGCUUUCCAUUUAAUAGUUUUGAAUCACCAUUUACCACAGGUAACUGAAAUUGCAAAAAGCAAAACCAUGGAUGAGGUGUCAGGGAUGGGCUACAGUAUUUUUCUCGGGGAUCAGGUAGUGAGACUGUGUCCAGUGUUUAGACACUGUUGGGGCAGAAGCCCAAAGAAUAGUACGAAAAGAUGAAAAUCUGUUGACUGAUCCUACAACAUAAAUGAGGUGGGUAUUUAAUUCAUUUAUUGUGAAGUGAAUGUUCAGAAAUGAAUUUCUUUUAUUUCUCUAAAACUCAACUUGCUCAUCAUGUUUAUUUGUAUUUGGUGCUUAUCAAAGCAUAAAUUUCAAAAAAUUACAAGCAUGACUCGAAUAUAAAAUCAAUAAAUGUCAAAGACUGAAUUAAUAACUGAAGAAACUAGAGGGAUAGUAAAGCUAAUUACAAACUGCACAGGACAAGCAGAAAUAUUAUAGUAACUGGAAAAAAUGCUGGAAUAAGUUCAUUACAUUAAAAUUUAAAAUCUUGGGUUUUACUCUUUUCUAUCAGAAAAUAACUAUUUGUAUCUCUAUGGUGCAAAAUUAAUUUGAAAUGUUAUUGAACAAAAAUUAUUUGAAUUUCUGUCAGCUUUCUACAAAUUAAAUUUCUUUUUCAGAAUUGUAAUAUACUUUAAUUAAUAGAAAAUAGUAAGUUGAAACAAAGCUAUAUACCCUUAGACAAUCAACUUUUUGUCUGUUUUCAACUUUGAGAUUUUUUCUUUUAAUGUGCUGAUGUAAUUAAUUAUAUUUUCUCUCAAACUGAGAAGCACAGGGUAAUUUCUUCUGAAUUAUAAUUCCAAUAAGG
rnacentral:lncRNA from 1 species